AUGCAGUCGAGCGAACAGAUGAGAAGCUUGCUUCUCUGAUGUUAGCGGCGGACGGGUGAGUAACACGUGGGUAACCUACCUAUAAGACUGGGAUAACUCCGGGAAACCGGGGCUAAUACCUGAUAAUAUUUUGAACCGCAUGGUUCAAUAGUGAAAGACGGCUUCGGCUGUCACUUAUAGAUGGACCCGCGCCGUAUUAGCUAGUUGGUAAGGUAAUGGCUUACCAAGGCAACGAUACGUAGCCGACCUGAGAGGGUGAUCGGCCACACUGGAACUGAGACACGGUCCAGACUCCUACGGGAGGCAGCAGUAGGGAAUCUUCCGCAAUGGGCGAAAGCCUGACGGAGCAACGCCGCGUGAGUGAUGAAGGUCUUAGGAUCGUAAAACUCUGUUGUUAGGGAAGAACAAAUUUGUUAGUAACUGAACAAGUCUUGACGGUACCUAACCAGAAAGCCACGGCUAACUACGUGCCAGCAGCCGCGGUAAUACGUAGGUGGCAAGCGUUAUCGGAAUUAUUGGGCGUAAAGCGCGCGUAGGCGGUUUCUUAACUCUGAUGUGAAAGUCCACGGCUCAACCGUGGAAGGUCAUUGGAAACUGGGGAACUUGAGUGCAGAAGAGGAGAGUGGAAUUCCAUGUGUAGCGGUGAAAUGCGCAGAGAUAUGGAGGAACACCAGUGGCGAAGGCGGCUCUCUGGUCUGUAACUGACGCUGAUGUGCGAAAGCGUGGGGAUCAAACAGGAUUAGAUACCCUGGUAGUCCACGCCGUAAACGAUGAGUGCUAAGUGUUAGGGGGUUUCCGCCCCUUAGUGCUGCAGCUAACGCAUUAAGCACUCCGCCUGGGGAGUACGACCGCAAGGUUGAAACUCAAAGGAAUUGACGGGGACCCGCACAAGCGGUGGAGCAUGUGGUUUAAUUCGAAGCAACGCGAAGAACCUUACCAAAUCUUGACAUCCUUUGAUCGCUCUAGAGAUAGAGUUUUCCCCUUCGGGGGACAAAGUGACAGGUGGUGCAUGGUUGUCGUCAGCUCGUGUCGUGAGAUGUUGGGUUAAGUCCCGCAACGAGCGCAACCCUUAAGCUUAGUUGCCAUCAUUAAGUUGGGCACUCUAGGUUGACUGCCGGUGACAAACCGGAGGAAGGUGGGGAUGACGUCAAAUCAUCAUGCCCCUUAUGAUUUGGGCUACACACGUGCUACAAUGGAUAAUACAAAGGGCAGCGAAACCGCGAGGUCAAGCAAAUCCCAUAAAAUUAUUCUCAGUUCGGAUUGUAGUCUGCAACUCGACUACAUGAAGCUGGAAUCGCUAGUAAUCGUAGAUCAGCAUGCUACGGUGAAUACGUUCCCGGGUCUUGUACACACCGCCCGUCACACCACGAGAGUUUGUAACACCCGAAGCCGGUGGAGUAACCUUUUAUUAGGAGCUAGCCG
rnacentral:rRNA from 2 species